AGAGUUUGAUUCUGGCUCAGACUGAACGCUGGCGGCGUGGUUAAAGCAUGCAAGUCGAGCGGACCCGCAAGGGUUAGCGGCGAAAGGGUGAGUACAAGUAUCCAAACGUACCCUGAGGUGGGGGAUAGGCAGGGGAAACCCGGCAUAAUACCCCAUGAUCUCUACGGAGCAAAGAUUUAUCGCCUUGGGAGCGUGGAUACACCUAUCAGGUAGUUGGCGGGGUAACGGCCCACCAAGCCGAAGACGGGUAGCAGGUGUGAGAGCACGGCCUGCCACAUCGAAACUGAGACACUGUUCGGACUCCUACGGGAGGCUGCAGCGACGAAUCUUCCGCAAUGGGCGAAAGCCUGACGGAGCGACGCCGCGUGUGGGAUGAAGCGGCUUUGCCGAGUAAACCACUGUCAGGGAAUAGAAACAUUGAUCAUUUCCAAAGGAAGGGGCGACUAACUCUGUGCCAGCAGUCGCGGUAAUACAGAGGCCCCGAGCGUUAGUCGGAAUUACUGGGCUUAAAGGGUGCGUAGGCGGACUUCUAAGUGUCGCGUGAAAGCCCACGGCUUAACCGUGGAACCGCGCGGCAAACUGGGAGUCUUGAGGAACGUAUAGGCGGGUGGAACGAUAGGUGGAGCGGUGGAAUGCGUAGAUAUCUAUCGGAACGCCGAAGGUGAAGACAGCCCGCUGGGCGUUUCCUGACGCUUAGGCACGAAAGCGUGGGUAGCAAACAGGAUUAGAUACCCUGGUAGUCCACGCUGUAAACGUUGGGCGCUAGGUGUGGGGGGUCUUUCCGAUCUCCUGUGCCGUAGCUAACGCAUUAAGCGCCCCGCCUGGGGAGUACGGCCGCAAGGCUAAAACUCAAAGGAAUUGACGGGGGCCCGCACAAGCGGCGGAGCAUGCGGAUUAAUUCGAUGCGACGCGAAGAACCUUACCUGGGUUUGACAUCGCCGGAAAUCUCACAGAGAUGUGGGGUCCUUUGGGGCCGGUGACAGGUGGUGCAUGGCUGUCGUCAGCUCGUGUCGUGAGAUGUUGGGUUAAGUCCCGCAACGAGCGCAACCCUCGUUCGAUGUUGCCAGCGGGUUAUGCCGGGGACUCAUCGAAGACUGCCGGGGUCAACUCGGAGGAAGGUGGGGAUGACGUCAAGUCAUCAUGCCCCUUAUGUCCAGGGCUUCACGCAUGCUACAAUGGCCGGUACAAAGGGCUGCGAUGCCGUAAGGUGGAGCGAAUCCCAAAAAGCCGGUCUCAGUUCGGAUCGGGGUCUGCAACUCGACCCCGUGAAGUCGGAGUCGCUAGUAAUCGCAGAUCAGCAACGCUGCGGUGAAUACGUUCCCGGGCCUUGUACACACCGCCCGUCACGUCACGAAAGUCGGCAACACCCGAAGCCCAUGGCCCAACCCUUCGGGGAGGGAGUGGUCGAAGGUGGGGCUGGCGAUUGGGACGAAGUCGGAACAAGGUA
rnacentral:rRNA from 1 species